GAUGAACGCUGGCGGCGUGCCUAAUACAUGCAAGUCGAGCGAACGGACGAGAAGCUUGCUUCUCUGAUGUUAGCGGCGGACGGGUGAGUAACACGUGGAUAACCUACCUAUAAGACUGGGAUAACUUCGGGAAACCGGAGCUAAUACCGGAUAAUAUUUUGAACCGCAUGGUUCAAAAGUAAAAGACGGUCUUGCUGUCACUUAUAGAUGGAUCCGCGCUGCAUUAGCUAGUUGGUAAGGUAACGGCUUACCAAGGCAACGAUGCAUAGCCGACCUGAGAGGGUGAUCGGCCACACUGGGACUGAGACACGGUCCAGACUCCUACGGGAGGCAGCAGUAGGGAAUCUUCCGCAAUGGGCGAAAGCCUGACGGAGCAACGCCGCGUGAGUGAUGAAGGUCUUCGGAUCGUAAAACUCUGUUAUUAGGGAAGAACAUAUGUGUAAGUAACUGUGCACAUCUUGAUGGUACCUAAUCAGAAAGCCACGGCUAACUACGU
rnacentral:rRNA from 1 species